GAGGGGGGCUUGCCAACAGUGAAGACUGCUAAUCCUCAUCCCCCCAGUUGAAUUCUGGGGCCCUCUC
rnacentral:tRNA from 1 species